UAUCUGUGAACUCAUACUGGCACAGAGAGAAAUCCUGGCAGGUGUAGGCCAGCUUCCUAUUCACACAGCUGGCCAACUUGCCCAAAUAGAUGUGAUUUGCCACGGUCAUUCUGGUGGUUUCCAGCUCCCGACAGCUCUCCCCACUCAUUCUUUUCUACCUCUUUCAGCCCUAUUUCCUUUUAGAUCAUACCUACUGAGCCUCAGAAGUUUCUAUUUAUGUGGCAUGACUACUUACCACCCAACCGCUGCGUUUGUACUGAAUAGAAAUCUGAAAUCCCUGUUACCCCCGUCCUCCAUGCUACUGUUUUACUUCCUGCUUCUUCCGUCUUAGUCUGAGGAACGCUGAAUCAGGAGAUGAGUACUCCAGCACCAUCCUGGCAGCAUUCUCCUCUCUCCAGCCAGGAGAUGUUGUUUCAUUCUUCUUCAUUCUAUAUAUGAUAGCCGCCCGUAGGAGCCCUAGUCGUGGAUCAGGAGGCCGUUGUGCUAGGCACAGUACAAACAGAACAAAAAGAUGGCCCCUGCCCUGAAGUGUUCACAAUCUGGAGAGCAGCCAAUAGGCCAGGUUCCAGCACAUUGUUAGCCAAGGCUUCACAGCAAAUAGUGGCAGAGCUGUGAAAAGAACCCAGGAGUCCUGCCUCCUGCUGUUAACCAUAGAAUAGUGCUGGGCAGUGAUAUACAAAUAAUGCACAUUUCCUCUUCCAUGCCAAGAGGUUUUGAGCAGACAUGCCAAACCUGUAGGAAAAAAUGCAGAAAUUGGGCUUGUUUUUGGCUUAAUUGACUUGUGAGUUGCUUGUAGCUUGUUGCUUCUUUUUUUUUAUUGGCUGCCAGCAAGCAGGGGGAAGAGGAGCGGGAUAGACUCGGGAUGCCUAGCAGGCCCACCAGAGUCCCAGACUGCACACCGGGGGGAUCUAGUCACACAGUGUUGGGGUUCUUAGGGAUUGGCUUGUUUUGACCUUGUUUUGAAAUGGGAUAAGCUUAAUUUUUGUCUUGUCGUGAAAGCCGGGGUGCUUAUUUACCAUGUGAAAGUUGGCAACUGUGGUUUUCAGCUACAAGCGUUCUACUGUGCUUUGGCUCGUCACUCCCAAGCCCCUCUUAACGUCUCCUGCCUGUGAAACAUACAUUUCAGUCUAACAUGCAGAGGCCUUGGUCCCAGGGUCAAUAUGAAAAGGAUAUUAUCACAGCCCUUUUUUUGGAGGCAAUACUGACUCUCUGAAACUCUCCCAGGGUCUCUAUGAUAAAAGAUGGUCUAAUCUGAGCGCAUUCUAAGAACUGCUCAGAGGCCUACGGUCCCAAGGGCUUGUGAAACUACAGCAGUGUCAACCUGCCUUUGGCUCAAAUGGCAUCUGUAUGCAUGGACAGGGAGUCUGACUUUUCCAAGCAUUGCUUUAAUUAGAUUUUUUUUAAUGCAAAUAAACCCUUAGAUCACUUAAGCAGCAUCCUUAAUCGAAAUUUCAAUAUUUGUCCAAGGUCAGCUAGUAACUUCUGAAUUGUCCAGUGAGUUUUAAUUGAAACACAAACAUUCUUCUGUUUUCUCUCAUUACAUUUCUUGCAUUAAAGUUAGUUUAAAGAGUUUGUUGGAAACCCAGUCCAAGGUGCUGUAGCUGUAAGAAUCAAGGAUGCUCAUCCCCUUUAAGAGUUGUUGGUAUGGAUUUUUGACCCUGAACAAAUAGUUUAUAGAGAAUGUUAAUAAAAAAAGUAUUGGCUUUACCCCUUAACUUUUUUCAAAACUAGGAGAGAAGUGAACUUCCAUGAUUACAAGAAGGGACUGGCAUGCUAGGGAUUCUUUGGUUCUAUUCCUGACUCUGACACUGACCAAAUAUGAUCCUCCACCUCUCUGCCUCAGCUGGAGCUGGAGUCUGAUUGUGUCUACACUGUACCCAAAAAAAAAAAAAAAAGCGUUCUUAACUCGGGUUAAAAUAACAGUGAAGAUGGGAUGUGAUUCUGCUUUUCAAGCUGCUAACUCCAAUUAAAAGCUGGAUUGCUGUGUCUUCACUCUUAUUUUAAUCCGAGUUAGUUAACCCGCAUUAAGAAUGCACCUUUUAUUCCCCCACCCCCAUGUAGACUUACCUUGGGUGGCCAAAAGCAUCAUGAUUCCUCUCUGCAGGCUGCAGCUAGGGCUGUUGGCUCCACGGGUGGUGUUGGCCUGUGUGCAUGUUCUUGAACCAAGAGGUUCCUGGGUAGCUAACUAAACAAACCUCACCUCCUAUUGACGCAGGAUGAUUAAACCAAGGCUGUAAACGUCGGUAUCUCGGGGUUUCAGUACCAGGCAGCAUCCUGCCUUUUCAGCGCUUUUAUUUAGUUUGUGGGGUUUUUUAUUAUUUUUCAAUUUCUUUGUUGCUAAUGAACUUUUGCAGCAAACGUGGGGGGGAGGGAGAAAUGUUCAUUUUCUCUGGAACCAGCAUCUCAAACAGAUGACUCUAGGAAUGAGUUUUAUGAAUUGCCUUCAGGGUCAGUGACAACUGCAUGGUGAUGAUUAAAGAUUUUAGAGGCAUGGGAACCAAUAUUAAAAAAUAAAUGAUUUCCAGUGAGGCAACAGCUUACAGAGACGGCUUUUCCCAUGUGACCCGUUGUGUGGCUGCACCACCAAUCUGCUGCUAGAGCUGCAAAAGUGCUGCAAUGUUCUCCGUGCAGCGUUGUCUCAUAACUCACAGCUGGCCAGUGGAGCAGAACCUCAGCCAUGUGGAUACGGAAAUCCAGUCCAGAUUCUUUCCUUUCCAAGGAUUCUUUCUGGAUGGUCUAGUUUGUUCCAGCUGGGCUGGAUUUCUGUGGUUGCCCAGGGUAGAUUCUAGGUAAGCCGUUUGGGAAAAGGACCAUUAGCUGGAUUCCCGUGGUCAGCUCUGUCACUGACUUUGCUGUGUGACCUUGGGAAAGUCACUAACUUGGUGCCAUCUGUAACGUGGAGGCUGGUGAUGCUGAGCGCACCAGGUGCUGCAUGCUUUAAUUCAUGUGUGAAACACUGUGCGCGCCUCACGCGAGAGGCCCCCUAGUGGGGCAAGGAAUGAUUGCUUGUGAAGAGCUGCAUGGUGUGGGGGAGAGCGUGCUGUCACACAGCUUCAGCAGGGGGCGCUAGGCGACAGCCCUCUGCCAGCUGUCGGUUUGAAACACAUCUGUGGAGGCUGUUAGGAAUCCGAGCUUCUUCGAGCUAGAGUUAAUGACAUGAAGUCCAGGGCAGAGGAUUUUUGGUCCUUAUACUAAUGACUCUGUUCCUCGGCACUGGCAGGUUUUGCACUGCCAACAGCAGAGGUCAGGGCAGGAAAAUCCAAUUUGUAGCAUGGGGGGACAAUGCAACCCUGAAACAACUCUUCCUUUCGAAAGAAAAACAGCCCAGCUGAGCUCUGACCCCAAGUCCAUGCUCCAUGUGGUUCUUCAGGAUUGAGCUUUGCCGUGUGCCUGGUGGAGUCAGCUGGGGAGCCCCGCUGCACUCAGGAGGACAAUUGCCACUGCACCUGCAGCCCCAGCAUACUGGAAAUGCUGCACCCGUCACUGCCUCCUCUCCCUGGAGCCUCGCAGCAGUGGGGAUGGAGGGAGAGACGGUGUGUAUGUUCCCUACCACUAGGAGGAGACAUGGCUAGAAAUGAUGGUUCUGGAGUGAAGGCCGAUUUAUAAUGGAGCAUUUAUUAAAGCCCAGAUUCUCAAAGGUAUUUAGGUGAUUAGUUCCUGUUGAUUUCAAUGGGAGCUAGCCACCUAAAUACCUUUUAAGGAUCUGGACCUAAGCGAUGCUUUUACACCGAGGGGUGCAUGGGAUGGUGUAAUGGAGAUUUGAGCUGCUUCUGCAGUUAAUGGUAAAGGAACCAAGGGAGCAUGAGGCUAAAUGGAUCCCAGGGGAUUCCUUAGACAUCAUCUUCCUCCCACUCCAGCCUCCAGCAGCCAUGCUGUCCCCCCGGGCCUGCCUGAUGCUAUGUCUUCCAGCCCGAAUCCUUCAUCUUCCUCCCAAGUGAAGUAAUGCGGGCCACGGUCAGCAAGUUGCCUGCCUCCACCGAUCAAAUCAGUUGUGGGCUGCAGUGCUGCCUUGCCCCAACUCACUGCAGACACCAAGCCUUCCCGCUCUUGAGGCUUGGCAAGAGUUCCUCUUGAGAUGUCCCUGUACAUAGACACGGGUCAGUCUUGCAAUGUGCUCAGCACCUUUUGCUAGAUGCAGAACUCCCUCUGCUCCUGGUAGCAGUGGACCAGUGUUUCUCAAACUUUUCAAUACCAGGGACCAGCUUGCUGCCUUCUUAAACUGUAUCAGGGAGAGCUCAGGGACCGGCACCCAUCUACGGACCAGUCGUUGAGGAACACUGCUGUAGAUGACUCAACAUAGAGCCCUGUAUGAUCCCAGUCAUCACUUGGGCAUGAACCAACAUAAGAACCUGUGUCCACGUGAGGCAGCAUCAUUGUGCUUAGCAACCAUUUCCCUAGAGCUUCGAGCAGAAAGGACAAAAGGCUGAAUGUCAACAGGCUCCAUGGAGUCCUAACCAAACCACUCAUGGGGUGUGUGUAGUUCCUCUUACCCUGUGAUGCUCUGCAGGCCUGGACCUCCUUGUCUGAUUAACCUGCGCCACCAGUCACUGCCACUGGGCAUGAAGGGGUUAAACCAGAACUGGGAUUUGAAUAAUGAGGUUAAGUGAUGAUGGACGUGGAGCAAUGUUCUUCUCCCCCGGGGACUGAUCCUCUCAGGAGUCGGAGGGCACCCGCAGCCAAUUUAACUUCAAAAAGCCCUCAGCCACUGUGUAGGCUGAUCAGUCAGCGUUCAGCAUAUGGCAACAGCCAUGGAGACAGCCGCCUCUCCCUCGCAAACACACGCACCCGCCAGCCGCUGCCUCGCUUGGCCCAAAUGUGGCAUUGUUCCAUUCUGCAUGAGCAUGCACACACGCCAGCAAGGCCCUGCCACCAGCCAAUCAGGACCUCUUGCCUUAAUCUCCCACUGCAUCACGCCAAAAGGGUGCUGCCGAGAGCCGCUGUUUGGCCAGGGCCCUUCCCGGGUGACUAUAUCAUCGAGAAGGAGGCGACGACUUCUUCGGUUUAACUCAUUGGCUAAGGAAGAAAGAAAAAGUUCAUUGAAUGUCUGCAGGGAAAAGGGCCUGCGCCUGGCUGCUAUUGCUGUUUGUCAAGGAGGCCCCCCCGCCGGGGAAAGCGUGCCCUUCUCUAGCUUGGGAGCACCAUUGCUGCACCGAGAACUGUCGCAGGUCACGAAAUGAGCUGCGAUCUCCCUCCCUUUCUCACUCCUGCCUCUAGCCACACGACUCCCCCUGCUCUGUGCUGGCCCGGCCCUGGGCUUUUAAGCCCCAGGAGCCCACUGGCCCCAACGGGAGUGGGGAUGAAUCCCAUUGUUCUCAUCUCAUUUGGUCAAGCAGCUGGCUGUGUGGCCAGCGGGGACCCACCUGAACAGGUCCAUCGGGCAGUGACUGGUCUGAGGAAAGAAGUUCACCAAGUUUCUAUGACAGGUUUCAGAGUAGCAGUUGUGUUAGUCUGUAUUCGCAAAAAGAAAAAAGAAAAGAAAAGGAGUACUUGUGGCACCUUAGAGACUAACAAAUUUAUUUGAGCAUAAGCUUUUGUGAGCUACAGCUCACUUCAUCGGAUGCAUUCCGAUGAAGUGAGCUGUAGCUCACGAAAGCUUAUGCUCAAGUUUCUAUGUUAACCCCCUUCUGAGCAAGCCGGGAGCAGCCUGGCCUGCUCGCCAUGGAACUGGACGGCUUGUUUCACAGAGGGCACAAUGGAACCAGAGGGGCAGGGAAAGCGUGUGGCCCACGAUCUUGCCCUGCUUACACCAGGCUCAGUAGCUGGGCUCUCCUCACUCCCCUAGGAAGUGCCAAGGAGGCUGGAGAUGUUGGGUGAGGGCUUUAAGUCAGAGUCUUUAGCAGCUUGCUAGGGGUUUUAUUCAACUGUUUGUUGGCUGUCCUUGUUCCAAAGGGUCUGGUCUGGUCCAGCGGACACAAGCGUUUGCUUUAGCCGAUCAGACCCUUAGCCCAUGUAGUCGCCUACAUUCCUGUAUUGACAGCACCAAGCUCAUGUCCAGCUCCGUCAUUUUGGCAUUUCUGGCCGUAGAAGCACCAGCGGUUGCCAAGAUUUUCCAUUAAACCCAAGGGGGAAACGUAUGCAGCAUGUCAGUCCGUGCUGCAACUAGGUGGACGCGUGAAAGAAAUAUAGCAGUUUUGAAGGGGAGAGAAGGAGGAGCGAGGGCUGAGUAAAUAGGUUCCUUGGUGCUGGGUCCGUCUGUGCCGUAAGAACGUCUCAGAACAGCCAUUGUUAUAAACUGGCCUAUCACAGAGCGGGGGGGGGGGGGGGGAGAAUAUUUGACAAAUGAAACGGGGGCCGAAGCAUUCAUCACAAUCCAAUUGAAGGAGUGCUAUGCUGAAGCCAGCCACCUACGUGCCGCCAAAGAGGCACGGGUUUAACUUUCUGAAUAGCAGUGUUCAUGUUCAAGGAAGGAGAGCAGCUCUGAACAGAAAAAUCCUCCAGGACGCAAGGCACCAGACUGACCAACAGGAUGCCCCAUGCAUCCUUGCCACCUUCUUAUGCCACCUGCCCUCUAUGCUGGGUUCUGUGCCUAGGCAGGUGAUCAACUAACCCCAUGUGCCUGGAUGGCGAUGAACUUUACCCACCAGCAAUUGGCCAACCUAACCCCCACCCUCCAUCUGGUGAGAGUUGAUGCGUGCGGCAAUAAUGAGACCACACCCACAUCCUUCCAGAGUCCAUCCCAUCCGCCAGUGCAAGGGGGCUGUCUCCUAUUGCUCACCACAGAGCCCUCACUGCCCCAAGGUUGGACAAACACCUGUCAGGAAUGCUCUAGGUUUUCUUGGUCCUGCGUCAGGGUGUGGGCUGGACAGGAGGACUUCUCAAGGUCCCCUGCCAGCCAGACAUUUGUCCAAUGGAAAGGGGCUGGCUCUCUCUUUUCCCUCUGGGCACUGUAUUGCACUGAUGUUCCUUCAUUAUCAUGGAUGUUUAUGCCCCCAGGCUCAAGCCCCCCAGAGCGUUUGAGCCUUGGGCCUGACCAGGGAUGAUGGGAACGUCCUGGGAACCAUCGACUCUUCUGGGAAUAUUUAUCCCUGGGCCCGACAUGCUCAAACCAGGUAAAACUGGGUGGCUGGUUCUGGCUUCUCUCUUCUUCUGAAUCCUGGGGAAUAAGAAACAAAGAACACUAGAUCCUGAUUGAGCAUCUCCUGUGGGUUCCCCCCAGUGCCCACAUUUGGGCCUGGACAGCUUGACAUGCCCUGCUUGUCUAUGGUCUAAGGCAAAGGUUCCCAUAUUGAGGUACCUGAGCCUGCUGGAAAAGGUACAUUGUAACAAGGUUUGUCUCCUUUCAGGAGUAGUGCGACUCAGGGCAGCCAACCCCCAUUCCAUGACCAUGGCCCCUUUAAGGAAGCAGGUAUUCAAGAGAGCAGCAGACUAGUUGGGUAAUGAGGGCCAGGUGUUAAUCAGGGAGCUAUCUCAGUAACUGAUCUAACUCAGCUGUUAGGUGACUCUCAAGAGAAGAGAAUUACAAGGAAGCAGCCAGUUAGGAAAGUGGCUCCCUGGUACAGGAAUUGGAACCUGAAGGGGAGAAAGUGGGGGCUGAGGAAGCCUGCCUGAAUCACAGCCCACCCCCAAGAGAAAGGGCUCUGGGGUGCCUCAACCAAGCUGGUGUGCUCCCCUCUCCCGCACUGAGCUGUUUGGAAGCAGUUAAGAGAAUUGCAGCAGUAGUGAAGUCAGCCCGUCUUUGGAUUGUUUCCCCGCACCAUCGGCAAGGAGGCCAUUAGGUAUGUGUGCCUCUUCCCUCACGAACUUCAAGCUGUCCCGCUGAGGCACGCCCCUUGUGCCUUUCUGGAGCCACCCGGGCAUCAGUGGGCUCUGCUGGGCCCCAGGCGUUUGUCCAGACAGUUUGCAGGAGCUUAGAAAUAGCAGGAAUGUUAAGUCCCAGCCAUUCCUGUUUUGCUGGAGGUUUCCUUGGAGGACCGAGAGUGAAAAGGUGUUUUCUUGGAAGAAACCUGCUGCAUGGGCUGUGUUGGGUGAAUUCAUAAAUUGCCAGGAGAGAGAGUAGAUUACUUAGUUGGGUCACACAUGCUCAAGGUGAACAUGUCAUCUGUUCACGCAGGCAUUGAGCUGGGUUCGUACUUGCAGGAAAACCUUCUCAGGACGGUCCAGCGGCUGGAGACAAUGGAGCUGAUGAUUCACUACCCAACCUUCUUCUCCCUGAGUCUACAAUGAACCAAGUGCCCAGACUAGCCCUAGUCUCCUGCUGGAGGAGAGAAGAUGAGCCUCUAGGCUGGAGGUCCUGACCAUGUGUGGUUACUGAAGAACCGAUGACAGUUUGUAAUAGUAGGAAUGUUGACUCUGAUGACCUGGCUGAGUUCCAGUACAGCAGAUUACAUUCUGCCUUCAUCUGUGCUCCCUGUAGUUUUCAGUUGGAUGCAGUAUUUGUCACUUUCUGCCCUAUCCUGUGUAUAUUUAAAAACUAAAACACCCCUACAGCCACUGUGCCCGCUGCCCCUUCUGAGGAAAGGCUGGGAGAACAAACACCCACCAGCCGUUCACGAUGGUUUCGUGGAAGGGAUGAGUACUGUACAAGAACCAGUGUGGAGUAGCACAGAAGCGUCUCACUCCUCUGGAGUCAGUCUUCUCUGUUCUCUCGGGCUGGUCUCUCUCUCGUGUUCACCCCACCACCCAGGUGACAGCACUUUCCCUAUGUGUCAGAAUGAGCUGACAUCAGCUUUCCAUUCCAGGGCUGGGAUUUCUCUAGGAGGCCUCAAACUAGCCUCAGGGCUAGUCUUAAAUAGACAACAUGGCCUGAAGUCGAGGCCCUGGGUUACCCACAGCGAAUGCACCUAUUUAGCUAACCCGAUGCUGCUGAACCGUGUUUGAAAAGACUUUGGGCUUGGACCCUACCUCCUGACGUAUCCAAAGGGCCAAUGCCCUUGGGAGAGGCUUGGCUAGCCACUGAAAGGUAGUAGUUCUCAAUGGGGUAGUAGCUACAGGGAUACCUGUUGGACUCAAUAAAUACACCUGAUCCUUGGCAAAACUUGUGCUGUUCCCUGGCAUUAUCUGACUCCAUCGGCCCUUUCCUUUUACUCCCAGGUCACAGAGGCCCCUCUGCUUUCCUAGCAGUAUCCAUUCCGUGAGUCUCUUUCUCUCUCAUCUCCUAACUGAGGGAACAGGCUAAUGGUGGAGGAGGACGAUGUUCCCAUUAAGCGAGGAAUAACCCAAUAGAUCACCCCUGAUGUAUCAGCCAGCGAGCCCCGGAAGAGUCGGGUUUCUCUGCUCCCGCUACACACAGGACUGGGAGAGGUGGCAGCUCAGCGAGAGAAGGCAAAUAAGGAAACACAUUUGUCAGGCCAACCCCUGGCUAUCUUGUGACAGUAAAUGAAAAAUUAGC